AGUCUUAGAGCUCUAUUCUCUUUUCUUGCAGGCUGCUUAUUUCAGAUUUUGUUGAUCAAGGUACCUGCAGCCUCCCUUUUCCAGGGAUCUGCCUUUCCAAGAUGAAGAUAAAACUGCAUCUUCUGUCUCAACACUGAGAACACCAAAGUACAUCAGCAUCCAGACAGAAUUCCAGCCAGAGAGUCUCAUCCUCAUCAGAUACUGGCAAGACAAACCAAGUGAUCCUCUAUUACAUUUCCUUGUAACAGGGAAAGUCAACUGGCUGCAAGGAUGUCUGGGUUUCAGGGAUCAGGCAGGGCUCAGUCCCAUUGCAAUACCCGAGGACUGGGGGUACUUGGGGGUGGAAGAGGUUACCAUCUGAUCCGCCACUUGGACUGCUCACCUGUGGAGCAGUACAAUGCAGUUUUCUGCUGGUAAGUACCUUGAGACACAGUCUGCAUAUUGGUGGGGUUAGCUUGUCUCAUGAUAAAAAAAAAUCACAGAUCGCUUGCUGGGACCUCCCUCUCCUGCA